UGUCACUAUGUGAUAAACCUUCGUCAUAUUCAUAGAAGUCUUCAUGUCUGUCUAAAUGCCUUUGGAAACAUCUACAACGUCCAACAUUGUACCUUGCUGAAGAUUGGACCUUGAUGUCCCUAAGCCGGAACCUAUCUGUCAGUCUAGGUCCAGUGGGAACCUCAGUGGGAUACAAGAUACUCGUUGCCUUUAGAAACCAGCUGCUACCAGGUUACUAAAUCCCACGGAGCAGCUCCCUGUUGGUCGUCACUGCCGUCACCUUGUGCAGCACCAAUGGUGUGAUGGUCUACAGAUAAUAGCACGAAUGGGAGCUAAUACAUCAUCUCAAGGUUCCCCGUGGAAAGGGUAAUGUGCCAUGGUCCUAUAAUCAUAAAUGUUCCUUGUAGUAGUACUUGUAGUAUUCCUUGUCCAAAUCUUUUAAAGGUGAAUUAGUCAAGUUUUAUGCAUAAAUGAAUAGUGCUAGAAAUUAUAAAUAUAUAAUAGCAGUAAAAUAUAAAAUAAA